UCCUUUGGAAAGUCUCACACUUAGGGCAAAAAUGGCACUAUUAAUUUACCUAAUGAAGGAUUGUACUUAUCUUGAAUGAUAUUCCACAUGACCUACAUUCAUUUUAUGAAUUUCAUUUCCGGAAAACCACCAACUACUAAUUACUAAAACGAUUAAGCAGCAGAAACAAGCCAAGAUGCUGGCUUAUAAUCGCCAUAAGAAUAACACAAGUAAAAAGCAUGGGGAUCGGGCGAAAUGAAAAUAGAGAACCACAAAAUGAUAUAAUGUCCCAUUGGAUAAGCCCCCACAUUCGCACAAAAAGGGACAGACAGCGAGAAGCUUUAAAACAAUUAAUUAUAAAUUUAUGGGACCAUGUGAAGAGGGGGAGCCAAGAAGAAGGAACAAAAGCAGACAUUUAAAUAACUCGGUAAACAAAAGCCAACUGAAAAGGACGAAGGACAAAAAGGAGUGAAAAUGGAUUUCCAUUUAAGGCGGCAUGUUGAGCACAUUGUUUUUAUUAAGUGUCGCAUGAUAUGUGCGAUAAAUAUAUGUACACAUAUAUGUAUAUGUGUAUCCAAUGGUUCAUGCUAUCCACCUUAGAUGUGUAUUGGUGCUCGAAAAGUGCAAACAGCAAUGGCAACUCACUUUAGACCCACUGUGCCAAAGGGGACAUAAUAAAACAGCUGCCGACCCUGCACAAAGAUGAUGACUGCGACUCCUGAUGAUGAUGACCCCUUGACCCCCGCCCCGCCCCGCACUCUAUAUAAUGC